rnacentral:rRNA from 1 species
UACGAAGGGGGCGAGCGUUGUUCGGAAUUACUGGGCGUAAAGCGCGUGUAGGCUGCUUCGCAAGUCGGAUGUGAAAGCCCUGGGCUCAACCCAGGAAGUGCAUUCGAAACUGCAGAGCUGGAGUCCUGGAGAGGAAGGCGGAAUUCUCGGUGUAGAGGUGAAAUUCGUAGAUAUUGGGAAGAACACCGGUGGCGAAGGCGGCGAGCUGGUCCAUUACUGACGCUGAGGCGCGACAGCGUGGGGGAGCAAACAGG